rnacentral:snoRNA from 2 species
AAGCAAUGAUGAGGGCAUUGGUUGAUGUAACCUCUGAAACGCUCCCAUGCUUCAUAGAAGCUUUCACCCGUCUUCUGUGAAAAAUCAGAAAUCUUAUUUCUGAGUUU